rnacentral:tmRNA from 1 species
GGGGGCGCACUGGUUUCGACGGGGAUAGAAGAAGCCGGAGUUGCAGGUCGAGGCGCCGCUGGCCUCGUAAAAAGCGGCAUUAAAGUAAUUGCAAACGAUUACGAAUACGCAAUGGCAGCUUAAUUGACCGCCACGUUCUCUUUGUUGACGUCAGAUAGGCUUAGAGAAUGACAAAACACUUAUCCGACUAGUUUCAGUAGGCGUUUGCUGCAGCUGGAGCGAAACUUAUACAGCGAACUGGCUUUACGUCGCCUGUUCUGGGGCAAAGCGUACAGUAAGAAAAAUUAAUCCAGAACUAAACCUGUAGAAGCUUCGAGUGGACCAUUCUCGGACGCGAGUUCGAUUCUCGCCGCCUCCACCA